GGAUUAGAUACCCUGGUAGUCCACGCAGUAAACGAUGAGUGCUAGAUGUUAGAACUAUGUUUUAGCGUCGAAGCUAACGCAUUAAGCACUCCGCCUGGGAACUACGAUCGCAAGGUUAAAACUCAAAGGAAUUGACGGGGACCCGCACAAGCGGUGGAACAUGUGGUUUAAUUCGAUGCUACGCGAAAAACCUUACCAAGUCUUGACAUGUUAGUCGUAUAGCUAAGAAACUAGCUAGUCAGUUCGGCUGGACUAUCACAGGUGUUGCAUGGCUGUCGUCAGCUCGUGCC
rnacentral:rRNA from 1 species